UACGUAGGGGGCAAGCGUUGUCCGGAUUUAUUGGGCGUAAAGAGCUCGUAGGCGGCUUGUUGCGUCGGCUGUGAAAUCCCGUGGCUUAACUGCGGGCUUGCGGUCGAUACGGGCAUCACUGGAGUUCGGCAGGGGAGACUGGAAUUCCUGGUGUAGCGGUGAAAUGCGCAGAUAUCAGGAGGAACACCGGUGGCGAAGGCGGGUCUCUGGGCCGAUACUGACGCUGAGGAGCGAAAGCGUGGGGAGCGAACAGG
rnacentral:rRNA from 1 species